GAACUGCUGAGGAGUCCUACAAUAGAAGGAAACGGCCGUACAGUGC
rnacentral:hammerhead_ribozyme from 1 species